AACCAUAGUUCAUUACAGGUGGGGGAGGGGAAAGACAGAAAGUGAGAGCAAAGAGAGAGAGGGAGGCAAGAGAGAGUCAGUGGCGGGGGAGUGGGGUCUGUCUUUUAAAGGGGUCCUUUACACCUGCAAGCGGACUUAGUUCCCACGGAACCCUGAGCUGACCAGGGUACUGCCUGAGUGGAUUCUGCCAGGUAACAGGGUAAAGCCUGAACCUUUCACUCAGAGGGGUCAGUCUUUUAAUCUGAGAAAAAUACUGGGUUGGAGGGGAAAACCUGCUGUCAGACUGCGUCCCCGGGUUGAAUUAAUAUAAAUUACAACUGGCGUUAAUUAUCUUUAUAUUGACCACGGUGCUAUAAGAGCCUGAGGUCAGAGAGUACUAAAGCAAAACAACCGUCUUUAGGACAUGAUAGGACUACUGCACUAAGAAACUCAAGCACCUGCGGUUGCCCUCACAUGAGCUGAACAAAGUCAAACCAACCAACCUUCUAUCAUAGCGGGAGAAAGGGUUCGUGUGUGCCCGCCAGUAACUGGAGAGUUGUUGAUGGCUUCUGGGGGAAGAAGAUACUGUUUCCUUGAAGGGUGUGGGCCCUGGUAGGUCAACCAGUCUCCAGUUGAUGGUCCCACACCUGUGUCUGCAUCGCUGAAUCAGUGUCUACCUGCCCCCUCCAGCAAGGGAGACCCGUGGAACCCUGUAACAUCUGAUGCCCAACGUGGACCAUUGACCAACAUAGGAGGCUCAUAUCGGAGGAUUUCGGGCCAGAACUGCAGACCUAGAGAGGUUUUGGACAGAGGCCACAGUUGUGUUAGUGCCAUGACUUUCCCCAGAAAACAAGUGGGAGCCUGAUCUCUGGAUACGGGUUUUAUUUCUGUUCAGGAAAAGAGAGGUAGCCUCAGGAGUGACUCCUCAAUUUUCCUUCACUCCUAUCUUGUUGUCGAUAAUAACCAUUUUAAAAUCCUCCUCAGCAGAGGAGGUGAUCAAGAUCCACAAUAAACAUUGCCAGGAACAAAGCCUUUCUAGAGAGGCAUGGAGAAGGGCACAUGAGCCAGUUAAAUAUGGCUCUGAGGAGAAGUCAAAAGGACGAGUCCUGAGAUGUUUACAAAAAAGGGUGAUUGGUUGCCAAGAUCAAACCAGACAGGGUCACUACAUAAACGGCCUGGGUUAGGUAGGUAAAGCAUAGGGCGCCCAGGCACAUGAUUGGCUGUCCUUUAAAACCAUUGGCUGUUUUCCCACUCUGUGGUUUUUUGCUUUAAAAGAUGCUUACUGUGGGGCAAUAAGAUUUCCUGCUUGACUAGACUCCCCACUGUGUCUGAUCAUCUGGGAGGCUGGGGAGGCUGGGGAACAGGCGGACGAGGGGCGCGCUUACCCUUCCUCGGACCCAGCUCAGCCUUCUGUGGUUGGGCUAAGACCCUGCACAUGGCUUACUGAGAUACAAAAGGCUAUGCCUGACCCACCACCCUGGAAGCUCGCCCAGGAUUGAUGCUCUUUGAGGGCUGGAAGUCAAGGAGGGGUAAGUGUGUAUUCAGCAGGCCGACUUAAGACAGGCACAGUCCGUUAUGUUGAUCCCUCCUGAGAUAGGGGCAACAAGGUUGGAGCAAGGCACCCUAGCUCCCACGGAGCAUGUCCUGUAAAAAUAAUAAAAGGGGUGGGUGUGUGAGAUGACUAAGCCCUAACAGCCAACCUACCUAGAUAGAUCCUCACUAAUAUUAAGAGUAUGUGUAGGAAAUACUUCCUGAACACCAACCUGGGUCUGCCUGAGGGCCUUGACAACAGCAGCCAAUCCAUGGCAAGAGAUGCUGUGGACCGAGGAAAAACAGUCAUGUCACAUCAGCAGAUGCCAACACAACAGAUCUUCUCCCCAGCCCGGUGGGGGGGGGGGAAUAUUACACCUG
rnacentral:lncRNA from 1 species